rnacentral:rRNA from 1 species
AUUGAACGCUGGCGGCAUGCCUUACACAUGCAAGUCGAACGGCAGCACGGGUGCUUGCACCUGGUGGCGAGUGGCGAACGGGUGAGUAAUACAUCGGAACAUGUCCUGUAGUGGGGGAUAGCCCGGCGAAAGCCGGAUUAAUACCGCAUACGAUCCACGGAUGAAAGCGGGGGACCUUCGGGCCUCGCGCUAUAGGGUUGGCCGAUGGCUGAUUAGCUAGUUGGUGGGGUAAAGGCCUACCAAGGCGACGAUCAGUAGCUGGUCUGAGAGGACGACCAGCCACCCGGGAACUGGGCCCCGCCCCCGCCCCCUACGGGGGGCAGCGGGGGGAAUUUUUGGACAAUGGGGGAAAGCCUAACCCAGCAAGGCCGCGUGUGGGAAGAAGGCCUUCGGGUUGAAAAGCCCUUUUGCCCGGAAAAAAAUCCUUGGCUUUAAUACAGGCGGGGGAUGACGGUACCGGAAAAAAAAGCCCCGGCUACCUACGU